AGGACACGAGGCUAAUAGUAGGCGGGUGCCGGAAGUCCAGGAAGGUUGCCGAUCCUCUGGCCAAGGACGAUACAUGGAGUCCAUGGAAGAUGAUUAAGAGCAUCUGAUGGCAAGAAAAUCUGCCCGGAAGAAGGACAGAAGGCAGAGGUGUCUGGCACAGGACACCAGAAAUACAGCACAUGGACUGUAAAGACUGCCCUAUAGGCAGGUUUAACACACUAUACACACACACAUGCAAUUGUAUGAGAAACAAUGUACAUGCAGAAGAGUAUCAUUGAGUCACUAACAGAUAUUCUGUUCUAGGAAUAUAUGGGUAUUUGGUAAAAGAUCUAACUUUAUUACAUGCCUGACAAUUUUGAAUGGUAUUGGUACAAUGUGUAACUUGAAAUGAUAUUAUUGGAAUUGUUCCAUGUUAGCUAAAUUUGAUCAAAUAUCAAAAGGGUAUAAUUGGGAAUGUUAUGACAGUAUAAGGAAUGCUGUCCACUUGCAGCACAAAAGGGUAUUACUAUCCAAAAUGUAAUGAUGAUUAUUGUCUUAAAGGGUACAUUAUAUUUGCAAACAAUAUGUUUUUGCUAGAAUCAGACUUAUUUAGAAGUCAAUUUUGUUAAGCUGUGACUGUUCCACUUUCAUAAGGAAAAGAGGUGGAUAUGGUAUCACUAAUCAUCUAUCUUUUCUACACCCCAGAAAGAAUAUGUUAAAGCUUUGUAAUAAUCAAUAUUGAAUGUAAUGAUAAAGAUCACAUUGUGUGAGAUACCUGAAGUGGGUUAAAAAUCAUCAAGAUAUUAAGACUGUAAGGGACCCAAGGGGAUGAUAAUGUUGGGUCGAGGUCUUGUUUGUAUGUUCACAGAUAAUGAAAACAUCUGGUUGCCCACGUCAUGCUUCAUGCCAGCUGAUACAGACCAGGAAGAGAAGCAGACGGAAGGUGAUGGCAUCAGCUACCUACAUGCCAGCCACAAUCCAGACUCGCUGGAAGGACACUUCUUUGGUGACUGAUAUCACUCUAGAACAAUGACAUUACACUAUUAGAGACAUUGGCUAUUAGGCCACUGAUGGACACUUGUCAUGCUGACAUCCAUUGAGAUGGGGUACCCAGAGCAACAUCAAGUAUGCUAACUCAGAAGGACUAAAUCACACUUGUGUCUGUACAAGACACCAGAUACAUCCCACAUUCCAAAGACUUUGCGAUGGGAUUGAGAUGAAAUAGCUACAAAUUGUCUAGCUACUAAAGUAUACCUUGUAUUUUGUAUAUGAUACUGUCAAAGGGAAUUCUGUAUGCAUUAUGAAUUGUAUGCAUUGUAAAGCUACCACUUGUAUUGUAAGAAAUGCUGUUAUCAACAAGGGUAUAGACCUUGGUAUGACUCUCCAAAGAGCAGGAGAUAGAAAACUCUCAUCCAUAGGAUAGAUCUGAUACCUCUGACAUCAAAAAUGAGGUGCUAAGCAGAAAAUGCUGCACAGCCAUGUCUAAUGGACAGAUGACAUUGAUGUUACUCUCGAGAAGGGAUGAGAGAUCAGGAAAAAGACACUAGGAAGUCUUUAAGCAGGAACUUGAGUUAUUGUAAGAGAUCAUUGACAUCCAGGCAAAGAUUAUGUUCCUGACAUUACAUUAAGGGCUGACUACCAUAGCAGUAGUUGAGUGUUAAUACCAUUGUUAACCAUUACUCCUGAUACCCUGUCUUUGUGGGUAAUAUCUUAAUAGGAAAAAUGUCUUGCUCUCCUCCAACAGUCCCAGAAUUCAGACGGCCGCUGGAUUCGGGAUCUAUUGGCUUCCCUUUCAUAUACUGGAAGACGUUCUGGUAUAUGGAAGUAAGACCUCAUGAAAAACUGAGGGCUCUAGGUUUGACAAUUUCUGUGGACGCGCAGUCAUUGUCUCUCCUAGGUGGAAAAAAUUAUUAUUGCACAAAAACUUGGAGCAAGGGCAAAGUAUAAUCUAAGUUUUACUGUUUUGGAGUAUGGAUUAAAAACAUGACACAAUAGGCACAGAUAAGCGUGCAGAAAAAGCACAUUGAAUAUUAUUCACUGACAACUAGGAAUGAAAAAGCUAUGUCAAAUGCUGUAGGUACAAGAAACUGUAGAAAUUGUUUCUACAGGGGAAACAACUUAAGCUUCUAUUUACCCAAACAUUGGUUUGGUGGAAUGAAUUUUGCAAAUAUUGGUAAUGGUAUAGGCUUGGUUACCAUAUUGAUGGGUUUAUUUAUACAAGCAGAGAUUUAAAAUAAGGAAGACAUUAGGAAUAUGCAGUCAGAACUUGAAAUAUUACUUCAUUAUCACCAUCAUGGUUAUUUAAGCUACAAUUGAGAAUGUAAAAUGGAUGGGAAUAUUGGUAUUUGUUAAAAAUUUGCACUGUGAUUGAUGUAUUGAUGUUUUUGCACAGCCUGUAAUGGUGCAAAAUUAUGUUCAUAUACAAGGCGAAUUUUGAUCUAUUUAGAUCAGGAAUUAGAAAUCAUUGGGAAAAUAAGUUCUGAUAUUUUACAUUGGCUCAGUUUCAAAGAUACCACAUAGACAGUGAGCCAAGAGAAUCUUGUAUUAAUUUUGGGAUCAGGUUCCCAGGAUCAAUUUUCUGAGAUCAUUUGACAUGUGAUAACAUGAUCCUCCAGAAUUGUUAAGAGAGGAUGCUUUUCUUUGAAGGGAUCUCUCCCAACACACAAACAAAAAGAAAAGGGAGAGGAAUCUUAUAGAGAUCAGUAUUUAUAUUUUUAGAGGAAACUUUUAAAGUCACUCUUGAUUGAUCAACCUUGAUUUUUUCUUUUACACUAUUAAGGCCAGAAUUUUUAAGUACAAAGAAAGUACUGUUAAUGCUCUGAUCCAGAAUUAUGAAGGUGCAAAGAUUUCUAGAAUUACAGUCACCUAACAGUCGGUGAACAUGAGAACAUGACAGCAAUUGUUAAUUUUCAGAUGACCAUACUGGAGAGUGAUGUCUGAUUGCAUGUAAGGGGAAUCAUAAUGAAUCUUUCAUUAUGGACCAGACAGCCUCAGCCACGGUUACAUUUUCCAUGUGAAAUGGAUGUUUGAGGUUGGGAAAUGCAGAGACAUGGCGUACUGACACCCUCAGUCGCUGGAUGUCCUGGCAUCGAGCUACCAACCAGUUUCCUAUGUGGCAGGCAUCUGGCAGUGAGCACAGAAAGAUCCCCAAGAUGCAGUAUCAGGACGAGAGAAAGGAAGGACUUAUCCUUCAUCUCCAGGGAUAGUAUUUUGCUAACUGUUGAAAAGGCUGACAACUUCUGAUAGUCCAGACUGUGAAUGGUGGCGUGUUUGGUUAUUGCACCUGUCAUGUGAACCAUGGAGUCCUACCUCAUUAGACCAGGAUCAGUAGCGUGGAAAUUAUUUUCUUAACAUUUUUAUAUCUACUAAGACUGUUGCAUUGAUCUUGAAAUGCAGACAGACAGAUAGAAAGAUCAGUUUGGGAAUUUUUAAGAUUGAUCACUGAAUCAGUUUAUGCUGAUGUUCAUUCUUGAUUGGGAUAUCUAAGUUAUACGAUCAGGAUGGGUUUUUCAUCUCUGUAUCAGAAUAUGAUUAUGCACCAGAGUGUUUGUAUUUGUUAAUGCUGUAAUGUUGCUACAUUUUGAUAUUACACUAUUCAUUUGUGUGUAAAACAAAAAGGGGGAGAUGUAGCAGUCCACUCCUAACUAGGGGCAAGGGGAAAACAGUAUGUGCAGAUUGCUCAGUCUUGGGCAUGCUCAGUAGUGCUCAUGGCUAGGAAGGCCUCUGACCCUUGACCCCAGCUUCUCCCAGGUUAGGCGGGAAAACAGGUUUCUUUGUUCUCACCUGGUUAAGAGAAACCACACGUAUGCCUUGUCAUUAACCAAUGAGAAUCAUCCCUAUGUACUGUGUAUAUUUGCAUAUCAAAAACUAUAUCUAGCCCAGCAGGCUCCGCCUUCCCUCUCUCUGCCCUCUGCCCUCUGCCCUCUGCCCCCUGCUCUCUGCGCUCCUUCUCUUUCAGGCUACCUGAUGGCUGUCCUUGUAGGAGCUUGGCCUCUGGCCAAGCUCCAUCUUUAAUCUUUCUCUAUUCACCUCUCUGGCCUGCGUGGUAUGGAUCUCAGGACUGGAAUAGCCUACUGAAUUGGUCCUUUGAUCAGAGCUUAGCUGUGGCUCAUCGAUAAUUAAUAAAGACUCAUCCUGAA